rnacentral:rRNA from 1 species
AAGGGCACCACCAGGAGUGGAGCCUGCGGCUUAAUUUGACUCAACACGGGGAAACUUACCAGGUCCUGACAUAGUAAGGAUUGACAGAUUGACAGCUCUUUCUUGAUUCUAUGGGUGGUGGUGCAUGGCCGUUCUUAGUUGGUGGAGUGAUUUGUCUGGUUAAUUCCGAUAACGAACGAGACCUUAACCUGCUAACUAGUUCAUUCCAUUACAUGGUUUGCAACUUCUUAGAGGGACUAUGUGUCGAUAAGCACAUGGAAGUUUGAGGCAAUAACAGGUCUGUGAUGCCCUUAUAUGUCCUGGGCUGCACGCGUGCUACACUGAUGCAUACAACAAGUUCCUAGUCUGACAAGGAUCAAACAAUGGCAAUCUUUAAUAUGCAUCGUGAUGGGGAUAGAUCUUUGCAAUUAUGGAUCUUGAACGAGGAAUUCCUAGUAAGUGCAAGUCAUCAUCUUGCAUUGAUUAUGUCCCUGCCCUUUG